rnacentral:rRNA from 1 species
UACGUAGGCAGCGAGCGUUGUUCGGAGUUACUGGGCGUAAAGAGUGCGUAGGCGGUUUUCUAAGUUUGGUGUGAAAUCUCCCGGCUCAACUGGGAGGGUGCGCCGAAGACUGGAAGGCUUGAGUACGGGAGAGGUAAGCGGAAUUCCUGGUGUAGCGGUGAAAUGCGUAGAUAUCAGGAGGAACACCUGCGGUGUAGACGGCUUACUGGACCAUAACUGACGCUGAGGCACGAAAGCUAGGGGAGCAAACGGG